GAGCGGGUUCGAAGAUGGCGGCGCGCAAGGGUCGGCGGCGCACGUGUGAAGCCGGAGAACCCAUGGAGGCCGAGUCCGGCAACACAAGUUCCGAGGGCCCGGCCCAGGUCUACCUACCCGGCCGGGGGCCGCCGCUACGCGAAGGGGAGGAGCUGGUCAUGGACGAGGAGGCCUAUGUGCUCUACCACCGAGCGCAGACUGGUAGGGCUGAGUCCGGACUCCAGGGUCCUGAGGUGGCUGAUCCCGAGCCUUUAACCUGAGAGGUGCUCGGGAAGAGAAGGCUGGGGUCUAAGAGAAGUGAUUUCAUACCGGAGGCGGUUGAUCCAUGAGGGAGGUGGGGACUGAGCUCUUACUGUCCCGUCUUAACUCGUAAACCCCUUCUUCCAUCCCCAGGCGCCCCCUGUCUCAGCUUUGACAUAGUCCGGGAUCACCUGGGAGACAAUCGGACAGAGCUUCCUCUUACACUUUACUUGUGUGCUGGGACCCAGGCUGAGAGCGCCCAGAGCAACAGACUGAUG
rnacentral:sRNA from 1 species